rnacentral:rRNA from 1 species
UUGACCCUACGGGAGGCAGCAGUGAGGAAUAUUGGUCAAUGGCCGAGAGGCUGAACCAGCCACGUCGCGUGAGGGAAGACGGCCCUACGGGUUGUAAACCUCUUUUGUCGGGGAGCAAAGCGAGUCACGUGUGACUCAUUGAGAGUACCCGAAGAAAAAGCAUCGGCUAACUCCGUGCCAGCAGCCGCGGUAAUAAGGAGGAUGCGAGCGUUAUCAGGCUUUAUUGGGUUUAAAGGGUGCGCAGGCGGAGGUGCAAGUCAGCGGUCAAAUUGCGGGGCUCAACACCGUACUGCUGUUGAAACUGC